rnacentral:rRNA from 1 species
GACGGGGCCGCACAAGCGUGGAUUAUGUGGAUUAAUUCGAUGCAACGCGAAAACCUUACCUACCCUUGACAUGCUAGGGACUUGCCAGAGAUGGCUUGGUGCCGAAAGGGAACCUAGACACAGGUGCUGCAUGGCUGUCGUCAGCUCGUGUCGUGAAGAUGUUGGGUUAAGUCCCGCAACGAGCGCAACCCUUGUCAUUAAUUGCCAUCAUUCAGUUGGGCACUUUAAUGAGACUGCCGUGACAAACCGGAGGAAGGUGGGGAUGACGUCAAGUCCUCAUGGCCCUUAUGGGUAGGGCUUCACACGUAAUACAAUGGUCGGUACAGAGGGUUGCCAACCCGCGAGGGGGAGCCAAUCCCAGAAAACCGAUCGUAGUCCGGAUUGCAGUCUGCAACUCGACUGCAUGAAGUCGGAAUCGCUAGUAAUCGCGGAUCAGCAUGCCGCGGUGAAUACGUUCCCGGGUCUU